AAGUAUAGCCAUAGAGGGUGAUAGUCCCGUAUGCGAAAAACAAACCUUAGCUAGCAGUAUCCUGAGUAGGGCGGGACACGAGAAAUCCUGUCUGAAGCUGGGUCGACCACGAUCCAACCCUAAAUACUAAUACCAGAUCGAUAGUGCACAAGUACCGUGAGGGAAAGGUGAAAAGAACUGAGGUGAUCAGAGUGAAAUAGAACCUGAAACCAUUUGCUUACAAUCAUUCAGAGCCCUAUGUAGCAAUACAGGGUGAUGGACUGCCUUUUGCAUAAUGAGCCUGCGAGUUGUGGUGUCUGGCAAGGUUAAGCAAACGCGAAGCCGUAGCGAAAGCGAGUCUGAAUAGGGCGCUUAGUCAGAUGCUGCAGACCCGAAACGAAGUGAUCUAUCCAUGAGCAAGUUGAAGCUAGUGUAAGAACUAGUGGAGGACUGAACCCAUAGGCGUUGAAAAGCCCCGGGAUGACUUGUGGAUAGGGGUGAAAGGCCAAUCAAACUUCGUGAUAGCUGGUUCUCUCCGAAAUAUAUUUAGGUAUAGCGUUGUGUCGUAAUAUAAGGGGGUAGAGCACUGAAUGGGCUAGGGCAUACACCAAUGUACCAAACCCUAUCAAACUCCGAAUACCUUAUAUGUAAUCACAGCAGUCAGGCGGCGAGUGAUAAAAUCCGUCGUCAAGAGGGAAACAACCCAGACUACCAGCUAAGGUCCCUAAAUCUUACUUAAGUGGAAAACGAUGUGAAGUUACUUAAACAACCAGGAGGUUGGCUUAGAAGCAGCCAUCCUUUAAAGAAAGCGUAAUAGCUCACUGGUCUAGUGAUUUUGCGCGGAAAAUAUAACGGGGCUAAAGU
rnacentral:rRNA from 1 species